rnacentral:rRNA from 1 species
GACGAACGCUGGCGGCGUGCUUAACACAUGCAAGUCGAGCGGUAAGGCCCUUUCGGGGGUACGACGAGCGGCGAACGGGUGAGUAACACGUGGGUGACCUGCCUUUAGCUCUGGGAUAAGCCUGGGAAACUGGGUCUAAUACCGGAUAUGACUCCAUGAUGCAUGUUGUGGGGUGGAAAGCCUUGUGCGGCUGGAGAUGGGCCCGCGGCCUAUCAGCUUGUUGGUGGGGUGAUGGCCUACCAAGGCGACGACGGGUAGCCGGCCUGAGAGGGCGACCGGCCACACUGGGACUGAGACACGGCCCAGACUCCUACGGGAGGCAGCAGUGGGGAAUCUUGCGCAAUGGGCGAAAGCCUGACGCAGCGACGCCGCGUGAGGGAUGACGGCCUCGGUGUAACUACUUCA